CCCUUAGAUGUUCUGGGCCGCACGCGCGCUACACUGAUGCGUUCAACGAGUAUACAACCUUGAUCGAUAGGUCUGGGUAAUCUUGUGAAUGCGCAUCGUGCUAGGGAUAGAUUGUUGCAAUUUUCAAUCUUGAACGAGGAAUUCCUAGUAAACGCAAGUCAUCAGCUUGCAUUGAUUACGUCCCUGCCCUUUGUACACACCGCCCGUCGCUCCUACCGAUUGGGUGUGCUGGUGAAAUGUUCGGAUCGGCCGUUUGUCGCGGUUUCCGCGUCAUGUGGCUGAGAAGUUCAUUAAACCCUCCCACCUAGAGGAAGGAGAAGUCGUAACA
rnacentral:rRNA from 1 species